GUGCCAGCCGCCGGGGUAAUACCGGCAGCCCAAGUGAUGGCCGAUCUUAUUGGGCCUAAAGCGUCCGUAGCUGGCCGCGCAAGUCCGUCGGGAAAUCCACCUGCCCAACAGGUGGGCGUCCGGCGGAAACUGUGUGGCUUGGAACCGGAAGGCUCGAAGGGUACGUUCGGGGUAGGAGUGAAAUCCCAUAAUCCCGCACGGACCACCGAUGGCGAAAGCACUUCGAGAAAACGGAUCCGACAGUGAGGGACGAAAGCCAGGGUCUCCAACCGGAUUAGAUACCCUAGUAGUCC
rnacentral:rRNA from 1 species